CAGGAGGCUGAGGUGGGAGGAUGACCUGAGCCCAGGAAGUGGAGGUUGUAGUGAGAUUUUCAAGAAUGCCUAUCUUUUUUUUUUUCUUUGUGUGACAGUCUGCAAUCUCUUUUCUUUUGUAGAUGUGGGGUUUUUUUCCACCCACUGUAAUUUAUGUGUGGUCAUUGUCUGGCACACCAACAUGUAUUGAUGAGCUCUUGCUGCAUAACAAAUUGCCCCAAAGUUCCAUGGCUUAAAACAGCAAACAUUUGUAACUGUUCUUGCUUCUCUGAAGGUUGGCUGAAGUUCAGCCAGUGUAGGCUGAACUCAACAUAUGGCUUUGAUGAUCACCCUUCACAAGCCUACGGAAUGCCUGGGGUGACUCCAUUUCAGGCUGUGGGAACAAGGGGUUUAUGUUUCAUAUAUCUCACAUUCUUCUCCUGGUACCAGAGUGUCAUCUGGGGUAUGCUUUUUUCAUGAGAAUGACAGAGGCACAUGAGAACAAGUGGCAACACAGGAGGACACUGAAGUCUUGGCUCAGAAAUUGCACACUCUACCCAUGUGCUAUUAGCCAAAACAAGUUACAGGGUCAAGCCUGAUUGAGGGAUGGAGAAGCACACUCUGCCCUCCCUCCAUGAGGCCCAGAAAAAGUGUGGAUGCAGAAGAAAGUUGGAAUUGGGGGUAAAACUCUAUAACCAACACAGCUUGGCCUCUUAAUCUUCCUUCAGCACAUUGAUGCUAUUCAUGCUCAAAAUAUCACAUAUGAGGAACAAAGUGAAAGUCAAUUUCUGAAAUCUAUUUCAAAUACAUCAUUUUGAAGGACUGGUGGUUCAAAGAGCCUAAACAAUAUAGAAGAAGGAAUUGUGGUUUGGUGGGAUGACAAAUGACUGAACCAAAAUUGGUUUGGGGUUUUAUUUCUAGAUACGAAAAUCACAUUACUGUCAUCAGUGGAUUAAUAGAGCUGCUACCUAGACUGACAAGACGCAGUAAAAACGCCUGGCAAAUUGGAGCUGGGGUGAUAUGGAAUCCUACAAAGAAGAACCACAGAAAGCAUCAUUAGAAAGAAAGCCUAGCAAGUGAGAUAAAAUAACUGCAGCUAGAAAUGUUGGUAAUGGGAAGAAUACAAGCUUAAUAUCAAGUGGACCAAGAUUUGAAUCCCAAAGCUGACAUUUAUAAUUUGUUUCCUGGGCAAAGUUUUUACCCACUAAGUAGGAUGGUGACACCUCAGCCCUUCUGCGAGAAAAACAAGGGUGAUCCACAUCCCCCAUCCCUCAUCUUAAAGUCAGGUUCAUAACGGAUAAGGCCUCUGAUCAGCCAAAUAACAAGCUGGAGGACUCAGGAGGCCCUUGCUUUGGUUCCUAUUGGAACAAUACAACAUAGAACAGGGCCAAGAAAAGGGCAAAGGAAAUACAAAAGGACGCCUGGAAGAUUUGCACAGGGCAAAGGAUGACUUGCUGAGUUAAUUUAAAGUGAUGUAAAUUGCUAAGACAACACUGCAAAGCAUUCAUAUCAUUUUUUUUUUCAAGGAAGAAAAUCUAAACAUUUUCCUCAGGAUCUUCAAUAAUAAAAAUCUAUUUAUCAAACAUGAACUUCUUUUUCUACCCUUUACCAGACUUCCCUACUUACUUGUCUAGAGCAGUUACUAAGAGAGAAAUAACCUGAUCCUUAGUAGUUCUUUCUUAUUACCUGGCAAUGAGGCCUUUCCCAGUGCCUCAAGAUUUGACCUUUGACUUCAUUUCCUAUUUAUCUCAUAAUGCCUGAGUUUUUAUGGCCUUCUCAACAUAAAACAUUUUCUUUGGUCACAUACAUUCCUUUCUUUUUUCUUAAGAUUAAAUAGGUUAUUUCUUAUAAUUACAUAGUGUAUGUUUACUAUAAAUAAUACCAAUUUUGAAAAAUGCUAAUAAAAUUACCUUUAGUCCACCAACCAGGGAAUAAUAACUCAUAACACAUUGCUGUAUAUCCAUCCAAUAUUUUUCAGUUCACAUAUGCAAGUGUGUGCACACACAGCCUUUCUUGUAAAAAUGGGAACGUUUACAAAAUAAUUUGCAUUAUUUCCUUUGAUAACUCACAGAAAUUCUUCCAUAUUUAGGUGGGUAGAUCUGCAUAAAAUUUAAUCAUUGAAACUUUUUAAAAUUAUGGAAACAUCAAGUAAUUUAUAAUAUUUGAUGAAUUCCAUAAUAUUGAACAUGUAGAUGAUUUCCAAUUUUGGGACGUUCUUUACAAUGAUAAAUAAUGUGACUAUAAACUAAUUGUAUAUAUGUUUUUUACUUAUCCUUGAUUUUCUUAGGUUAAUUUUCUAGAUUUAAAUGUCUUGCUGAAAAGUUUUAUUCACAGAAUUUCUUACAACCCUGAAAUUCUUUUUUGAAUGCCAGUUCUACGUGAUAUCUUCAAUUUGGCCCAGGUUUUAUUUUAUCUGCUGGACUGUUAAUUAUUAUUACAACAGAAAUAUUUCCACUGUAUAUUUAUUGGUCUUUUCAGGCUGAAAUUAAGGGAACUCUCCUGAGGCCAGUGUAAGUAAAAUGGGACCUGUAUUUAUGGUGCUGCAGAGGAGUUUCAUGAAAUCCAAAGUCAGAGUUUUAGUUUGGCCCCAAGAACAGCCUAGGCUGGAGACUAGAGAGCUAAAGGUAACCAAUAGAUAUUUUCCAUGCAUAUAUUUGUUCUCUCCUUCUGUGUAUAAGUUCAAUUAAUGCCAGUCUUUCUGAGUUUCCUAUUCCUUGUUUAAGUCAUUCUUUGUUUCAUUGAAAAAUUCCCUAGUCCAGUUCCUGCUUUCCUCAAGAAAGGAACUAAUUAACUGGACCAGUUUGGGUUUGAAGGUUCACUCCUGGUCUCUUCCAAACCAUGGGUAUAAUUUAAGCUAAAAAUGAAAAUAAAUAUGAGCAACAAAAGUUAAAGAAAUACUAGUAUGCCAAAGGAAAAUUUAACAACUCUUUAAAGACAUUUUGGGUCAUAAGGAAUCAAAUUGCUGACAAUCUGCAAAAUACAAUUCAUGAAGAACUUAUGGAUACAGCUAAAUCAGUGCUCACAGGAAAAAUCUAUCAUAAAUAAAUCUAUUGUUAUGAUAAUAAACAAAAAUAAUUAAAAUCUUUAAUCACUCAACACAAGAAAUUACAAAAUGUAAAAAAGGACAUUAGAAGGAAUAAAUUAAGGUUAAAAACAAUAGAAAUAGAAAUCAUAAAAACUGUAAAACUAUUACAUAGUUUCAAGAGUGCAUUGCAGAAUUAUAGAAAGCUUUUGCUUUAAAAUAAGGAAUAAGAAGUCCCUGUAUAUAUUACACACUGUAAGUUAAUUUAAUAUGGAGUCACAUUUUAAUGCAAUUAGGUAACAAAAAUAAUUUUUUAGAAAAGAUACUAUAUUGUUGAAGGCAAAAAUGCUAUGUGAGACUCAAUAAUUGAAGCCCAACCUGAUUCUCUGUCCCUAUGUUAAACAAUGCUGGGACCAAGCAAUAAUACCUUAUCUGCAUGCUUCAGAAUUACUGGCUCCUGAAAGAUAAGACUAGGAAAGACCUAAACAACUUAUUAUCAAGACUAACAGUUUGCUCCUGAAGACUCCCUUCAAGAUCGUCUCACAGCUAAGUUUAGCAAUCAAAGUAAACCCUGCCCAUUUCUAGCAUUUAUCUGCCUUAAAGUUACCCAGCCCAGACCCUGAACCUUCCUAAAUGUAUUUUCCUAUUUUUCCAACUUUGGGAGACUGCUAAGAAUUGUAUUGCAGUAUGUCUCAUACACAGUUUAGCUCCAUUAAUAGAUGUUUUCUGGUGGUCAUAUGUGAUAUAAUGGGCAGGCUUAACAAAAGACGAAAAUGCUAACUUGUGUUCUCUGUUUGCCACAAUGUCACUUUGGUUUUGUAGAGAUUAAGAAACUGAGCUGCGAGAGAUUAAAUAUUCUAUCAAGGUCAUUGCCCGCAAGCAGGGUAGGAGGAUUUAAAAAGGUCUGACACACACCUGAAAUUCUACUUGUUCCAUUACUACAUCCUGCCUGCAGUUGGCCAUCUCUAUUUCUGCAUUUUGCUGGAAAAUCCCACCUUGAGUCCUUUUAGCCUGUACUUUUCCUUCAAAUUAUCUCAAUGGCAGCACAUGAGAAAAGCCCUUGAAUUGCUCUUUUUAUUACUUCAGUUGCUAUAGAAAUUCUGUGUCCUACCUCUCAUCUUACCAGAAUGAUCAUCAAAGGAUCUGAAUGAUUGAAUUUGAGAAAUAAAAGUAAUGAUGGUUUCUCAUGUAUUAUUUUGUCUAUUUAUAUGUGCCUACUUGAACCUGAACAAGACUGAAGACAUUUAAUGCACGUUUGCAAAGGCUGUAGAGCGCAUCCAGUGGUUUUACAUGCAUUGUCUUAUUUGAAUUCGAUUUGAUUUGAUUCUAGUCUGAACUUAUUCUCAACAUGUUACCAUCCACACUUAUAAUAAAAACC
rnacentral:lncRNA from 10 species